UGUGCGGGGCCACCGUGCACGCGAGGAGCAGCGGGCCCGCCGAGGGCCGCGGAGGCCCAGGCCAGGACUUCACUCUAAGUCUUUGGGGAGCCUGGACAGGAGAGGACGGGACUCACAGUGGCAACACCCACCCGAUGGUCCCGCUGCAUCAUGACGGUGUGGAAAUUCAAAGUGAGAUAGAGCACACAGGAAGGUGAUUGAGGAAAAGUGCAGGAAAGAGACAUGUCUGCAUAGACACAGGCUCUGAAAGAACAAAAGCUGCAUUUUGUCAAGUGGCCGGGCUCGCCUCGGCACUUGCUUCUCCGGACUUGGGGUGAAGUCCUUGCCUGCGGGAACCCGGUUUCUUCAGGAGCCACCCCAGAGCGAGGGGACGGCGAGGACGUCUCCCUGCCCGGGGCUGGCUGCAGAGCAAGAACUGGGGUGCAGGCCAGAGAUGUGGGAGAGUGAGAGGAUUCACCAGAGACAGAGUAGGGAGUAGAACAGGCAGAUAUACCGAGAUACACUGCUGAGGGGAGCAGCAGGUGAGACAGGAGAGGUCUGCUGCACCAUGUGGGUAGCUCCCUGGCCAGGCGUGAACUCAGACCAUUGUUGUGACAGCACUGAGAUUUAACCCCUAGGCCACUGGGGAUGGGAGGGGAGGCUGCACUUUACCUUUUAAUGUGUUAAACUGAUGUUACCUCCUUCCUUGCCAAUCCCUGUUAUGCUCGCCUUGGAGAGAAGUUGAAUUUCUCUGGAAAGGAGAAAGGAACCAGCAUUUAUUGAGCACCUGCUGGAACAACAAGUUCAUCGCUUUAGGGUCUGGCUGCGGUGGACGCUGUCGGGAAAGGCUGGGAGUCCCGGAGCCUGCGACAGACCCGCCCGUGCCUCCUGCCCGCCGCCUGCCCCGGCCCACUGCGACCUGCUCAUGAGCUGGAGUGAUGUGGGGACAAGGCCUGGGGCUGGACUGAAAGUUUCAGGGAGUGACUGAUGGACUUUCUCUGGCCAGGAGCCUGACCUGUGCGCCCCAGAUGACCAGUUUUGGGAUACAUUAUUUCUCUCAAAAUGAGAAGAUUCUCGUGUGGGGGAGCCACAAAUUAGAUGAUCUCCAGAGGCGAUGACAACAUCAAUCAUGGUUUUUAUUAUAAUACGGAUUCAUUUUUCAUUUAUGCAUUGUAAUCAAAGCUCUCGCAUCUGAGUGUCACUUACCCGAGCUUCCUGGUCUCCCUGAGCUGCGCAUCAGGGGCGCUGUUCAUUAGCCUGAAACAGAAAAUACAUCCCGGGAUCAAUUAUAUGAGCGUUUUCAGGUAAAAGAGAAAUGGCUGCAGCUGAAGGUACAGGGCAUUUCUCUUAGGAAAUGGUUUUUAUAAAGAUCACAGUUGUGCAGAUCUCCCGCCGUCCUGCUUUGGGGGGCAUUCCAUGUCCCUUCCCAGUGACCUGACGCUGCACCCCAGGAAUCCUACAGGCCGGGUUCCCCUUCCCAUUCUUACCCGGCAGGACCGGGUCCCGAGGGUUCUCAGACUGGCCGCCCCGCAGUUGUGCAGCUUCUGCCAAAGGGAGCCGCUCCCCUGCGCCAAGGUCUCUGCUCCAGGCAGAGGCUCCCACCUGGGCAGAAUCUGGAAUCAGAGAUGGGGCAGCUCUGGACUUGGGGAGCACUCAGAGCUACUGGGACCUCACCAGAAUAAAGGGGAGGGCAGGAAACAGUGGUUGACACACCUGGGAGGGGGGGUGUACAGGGCAGAGCCCCCAGAGAGGAAGGCGACGCUGUGCUCAGGGUCAGGGCUGAGUUUUGGGUACCUGCAGCCUCAGGAACCCACCAUCAUCUCUGCCAAGGCCCCCAGGCCCCCAGAGUCAUAAAGUCAGCGAGUUGUCUGCACUGUCGGGGAGAGGAGCCGCGCCAGCCGAGACGUCCAAAGAUAGGAGGAUCCCC